UCGGCAGCAAGGCGGGGACCCCAAGCUUCCAUCCCUGAGUCAGGCACUGUUUCUCCCAACGUUCUGCCAAGGAGAGAGGCAGAAGGGAGUCAAUGGCCUGUUGCUAACCAGCCCUGUGACCUCGUGUAAGUCCCUCCAAUCUCAGUCUGCUUCAGUUUCGCCAAGCAGCAGCACACAGGACUGUCUAGGAAAAGGACCCGCAACCACAGGCAUGACUCCCACACAGAAGUGCCACGUGGAUCUGGUACCCUGCCCCGGUUUGGUCUCUGCUGUAAUCAGCAAUGACCUUUCCUCCUCAGCUUAUGUUUUCAUAAAUACCCACCCCAUCGUGGCCCAGAACUCAGCAGAUCUUUAGUUUACGGGCUCUGAGAAGGCUGCAUUCAGUCCAGACCUCUGACACACUCCCCUCUACUUUCAGUAACCAUGGUGGAACCUAUGGACCCAUCCAUGUGGAUCUUUCUUUUAUCUCCCCCCUUACCACACCCACCACCGCACUUGUCCUCCAGAAGCAGUGAGGGUGCUUUUAAAUUCGUUGAGCUCCUUCCGAAUGGCAGCCUGGAAGAAAGAGAAGCCCGUGUAUGUGUGGAGGAAGCAGACAGACAGCAGCUCACCUUCUAUUUUAUUCCUGAAAACAUAGUUUUUCUCUUCGACAAAGUCAGACAGGUGAGAGCAUGAGGUGGAGAGGCGCAGCUGACGCAUCACAGACCAGAGAGGGGCAGGGCCUGGGGGACCCAGGACUCCUGACUCCAGGACCUGGGACUUCUCCAGCUCUCUGUGAAGGAGCUUACUGUCUCAUGAACCGCCUCCAGACAAGCAGCUUGGACUUUCAGACAAGCAGCCAGGCUGCGGAACAACACUGCAGUGUGCCUUUCUGCGUGGGUGUGAUGGGUCUUCCCACAUCUAUCUGCCUUUCCCAUCAGGGGAACAGAAACCUUAUACAACAGCUACAAUACACCUUAGGCCGAUGCCAGAAUGUCCCAGCUUGCUACCAACUGGCCUACAAUGGAAGAACAUAAUUAGAUGACUGCCUGGCCGGCACUGAUCAGAAUGGUGACAGCAAGCGCCAGGCUCCAGACAGGACCCAAGCAGCCUGCUGCUACCCCUCGGCCAAGGGAGCAGAGACCUGGGGAAUCACAGGUAAAAUGAACCCAAGUUACCUGCCUGGAUGCUAAGGAAAGAGUCUCUGCAGAAGUUGGCAGCGUUAUGUUUUUAUCUACAGCAGCAAAAGUAUCACUUGCAAAUGCUCAACAAAAGGGUACAUGUCAAGACCCAAAUUCCACUAUUAAUACAACCUGACCCAGGUAAAUUUCUUCCCUGCCUGCCUCCCUCCCUCCUUCUUAUCCAUCCAUCAAGCUAGCUAGCAAUCUUUUUGGAAGUGGGAAACAGGCAUCUACUGAAAGAUGAAGCACAUAAUUUUUAGGUUCAUCUCAGUUUGGCUGAAGAGAAUGCCUGGUCUGUGGCCAACAGCAUCCGCUACUGUGUUUUCUCUUUCUCACAAGGUCUUGACAGAAGGCUAUGGAGGCAGUCCUGGGGCUGAGGGAAGGUACGGGAAAGCACCCCCACCCCACACCUCUGACAUCUGGUCUUGCUGUGAUAAAGGCUCCUGAGAAACAGAACAUGUCCAGGGCUAGGAGGUGGUACAGAUUCCCUAGCAGCUGCCAGGC